rnacentral:tRNA from 1 species
CGAAGUAGCUCAGUGGUAGAGCAACGCUCUCGUAAAGCGUAGGUCGUGGGUUCAAAUCCCAUCUUCGG